GCAUUUUCAAUUAAGCCGGAGGAAAAGAAACUAACGAGGGAUUCCCCUAGUAACUGCGAGUGAAGCCGGGAAAAGCUCAAAUUUAAAAUCUGGCGGUUUUUUCUGGCCGUCCGAGUUGUAGUCUGGAGAAGUGCUUUCCGCGCUGGAACCGUGUACAAGUCUCUUGGAACAGAGCGUCAUAGAGGGUGAGAAUCCCGUCUUUGACACGGACUAACUAGUGCUUUGUGAUGUGCUCUCAAAGAGUCGAGUUGUUUGGGAAUGCAGCUCAAAAUGGGUGGUAAAUUCCAUCUAAAGCUAAAUAUUGGCGAGAGACCGAUAGCGAACAAGUACCGUGAGGGAAAGAUGAAAAGCACUUUGGAAAGAGAGUUAAACAGUACGUGAAAUUGCUGAAAGGGAAACGCUUGAAGUCAGUCGUGUUGGCCAGAACUCAGCCUUGCUUUUUCUGCUUGGUGCAUUUUCUGGUUGAUGGGCCAGCAUCGAUUUUAAUUGCUGGAGAAAGGCUUGAGGGAAUGUGGCACCCUCGGGUGUGUUAUAGCCCUUAGUCACAUACAGUGGUUGGGAUCGAGGACCGCAGCACGCCUUUAUGGCCGGGGUUCGCCCACGUUGUGUGCUUAGGAUGCUGGCAUAAUGGCUUUAAACGACCCGUCUUGAAACACGGACCAAGGAGUCUAACAUGCCUGCGAGUGUUUGGGUGGAAAACCCGAGUGCAUAAUUAAAGUGAAAGUCGAGAUCCUUGUCAUGGGGAGCAUCGAUGCCCGGACUCAAGCCUUGGCGAGGGCUCCGCGGUAGAGCAUGUAUGUUGGGACCCGAAAGAUGGUGAACUAUGCCUGAAUAGGGUGAAGCCAGGAGGAAACUCUGGUGGAGGCUCGUAGCGAUUUCUGACGUGCAAAUCGAUCGUCAAAUUUGGGUAUAGGGGCGAAAGACUAAWUUCGAACCAUUCUAGGUAGCUGGGUUUCCUGCGAG
rnacentral:rRNA from 1 species